UGGGGAAUAUUGCACAAUGGGCGCAAGCCUGAUGCAGCCAUGCCGCGUGUAUGAAGAAGGCCUUCGGGUUGUAAAGUACUUUCAGUCGGGAGGAAGGUGGUAAGGUUAAUAACCUUAUCAAUUGACGUUACCGACAGAAGAAGCACCGGCUAACUCCGUGCCAGCAGCCGCGGUAAUACGGAGGGUGCAAGCGUUAAUCGGAAUUACUGGGCGUAAAGCGCACGCAGGCGGUUGAUUGAGUCAGAUGUGAAAUCCCCGGGCUUAACCCGGGAAUUGCAUCUGAUACUGGUCAGCUGGAGUCUUGUAGAGGGGGGUAGAAUUCCAUGUGUAGCGGUGAAAUGCGUAGAGAUCUGGAGGAAUACCGGUGGCGAAGGCGGCCCCCUGGACAAAGACUGACGCUCAGGUGCGAAAGCGUGGGGAGCAAACAGG
rnacentral:rRNA from 1 species